rnacentral:ncRNA from 1 species
CUAGUUGGUGAGGCAAUAGCUUACCAAGGCGAUGAUCAGUAGCUGGUCCGAGAGGAUGAUCAGCCACACUGGGACUGAGACACGGCCCAGACUCCUACGGGAGGCAGCAGUGGGGAAUUUUCCGCAAUGGGCGAAAUCCUGACGGAGCAAUGCCGCGUGGAGGUGGAAGGCCUACGGGUCGUCAACUUCUUUUCUCGGAGAAGAAACAAUGACGGUAUCUGAGGAAUAAGCAUCGGCUAACUCUGUGCCAGCAGCCGCGGUAAGACAGAGGAUGCAAGCGUUAUCCG